AGAGUUUGAUCCUGGCUCAGAUUGAACGCUGGCGGCAUGCCUUACACAUGCAAGUCGAGCGGCAGCGCGGGGGCAACCCUGGCGGCGAGCGGCGGACGGGUGAGUAAUACAUCGGAACGUGUCCUUUCGUGGGGGAUAACCAGUCGAAAGACUGGCUAAUACCGCAUGAGAUCUCACGAUGAAAGCGGGGGACCGCAAGGCCUCGCGCGAUUGGAGCGGCCGAUGUCGGAUUAGCUAGUUGGCGGGGUAAAAGCCCACCAAGGCUACGAUCCGUAGCUGGUUUGAGAGAACGACCAGCCACACUGGGACUGAGACACGGCCCAGACUCCUACGGGAGGCAGCAGUGGGGAAUUUUGGACAAUGGGGGCAACCCUGNAUCCAGCCAUGCCGCGUGUGUGAAGAAGGCCUUCGGGUUGUAAAGCACUUUCGGCCGGAACGAAAUCGCGCGGGCUAUUACCCCGCGUGGAUGACGGUACCGGAAGAAGAAGCACCGGCUAACUACGUGCCAGCAGCCGCGGUAAUACGUAGGGUGCGAGCGUUAAUCGGAAUUACUGGGCGUAAAGGGUGCGCAGGCGGUUCUGCAAGUCAGGCGUGAAAUCCCCGGGCUUAACCUGGGAAUGGCGCUUGAAACUACGGGACUCGAGUAUGGCAGAGGGAGGUGGAAUUCCACGUGUAGCGGUGAAAUGCGUAGAGAUGUGGAGGAACACCGAUG
rnacentral:rRNA from 1 species